GUGUCAGCAGCCGCGGUAAUACGUAGGGGGCGAGCGUUGUCCGGAUUUAUUGGGCGUAAAACGCUUGUAGGCGGCCACGCCGCGUCGGACGUGAAAUCUCCCGGCUCAACUGGGAGGGGUCGUGCGAUACGGGCGGGCUCGAGGCAGGUAGGGGGAAGCGGAAUUCCCGGUGUAGUGGUGGAAUGCGUAGAUAUCGGGAGGAACACCAGUGGCGAAGGCGGCUUCCUGGACCUGAUCUGACGCUGAGGAGCGAAAGCGUGGGGAGCGAUCCGGAUUAGAUACCCGGGUAGUCCACGCCGUAAACGGUGCGCACUAGGUGUCGGGGGUAUCGACCCCUCCGGUGCCGCAGCUAACGCAUUAAGUGCGCUGCCUGGGGAGUACGGCCGCAAGGCUAAA
rnacentral:rRNA from 1 species